rnacentral:rRNA from 1 species
CACGUAGGGGACGAGCGUUGUCCGGAUUCAUUGGGCGUAAAGCGCGUGUAGGCUGCUCGGAAAGUCGGAUGUGAAAGCCCUGGGCUCAACCUAGGAAGUGCAUUCGAAACUCCCGAGCCGGAGUCCUGGAGAGGAAGGCGGAAUUCUCGGUGUAGAGGUGAAAUUCGUAGAUAUCGAGAGGAACACCGGUGGCGAAGGCGGCCUUCUGGACAGUGACUGACGCUGAGACGCGAAAGCGUGGGGAGCAAACAGG